AGUGCAGCCCAUGGUCUGAAAUGAAACAGAUGCGCUGUGGAAGUUUGCAAACUCCCCGGCACAGAAGGUUGGCAGAUCUGCGCUCUGUAACCAGGGCCCAUCUUCUUGGCAGAGCGCUCCGCACCCCGGUGCCAGUGGCACUGCUCCUGCUGUGCAGACGAAGGGCGGUCUGGAGGACAAAGCACUCAGCUUGGCAGUUAAAGGCAGGGAGAACUAAACCAAGGCUGAGAGCCCACUCGAGCUUUUAAGCCCUCCCACCAAUUUUGGAUGGUAAGCUGGUAUUUCAGGAAUUAGUACAACCAAAGGCACCUGGUCUGGUUUUACGGACUGGAACGCUCUUGGAAAGCAAUCAGAUACGAUUUGGACAAAAACAAUGGAGGCCCAGACACAGAGGCUGCCCUGGGAGAGUAUACCAGCUGUCUGCUCAGUUUCAAACCUCUAAUCAUGUUCUUGGAGAGAAAGCAAGGGGACCUGUUAGGGGUUGCCGAGCUCCGAGCUCAGGGCCAGGUCCAGGCGGCGGAGCCCGCGAGAGGGAGUCCUCCCAGCACACAGCACCUCGGACUUGAAUUUCUGGCACCCGGACAGCAGUAAAUGAGACCGAGUUUUUGAAUAUUCGCCACGGGCUGAGGACGAGGCGAGGGGAUUAAAAACGGUGGCACAAGCUAAGAUGAAAUAGUGGAAGUGGGGAGAGCAGCGGGAUGAAGGCUGGCAGCGCACAGAUGGGCAGAGCACCUGCUGGCAUGGCACGCAUCGCUCCCAGGGAAUCCAGACUACUGGUACUGCCUCAAAGCAAAUCAAAGCCUCAGACAGAAAUAGCCAAAGCCCUGCCAUGCCCUCCUUCAACUCUUUAAAAACAUCUUUGCCCCUGCUUGCAAACUACACAGGAGCAUUCAACAGCUGGCAGACUCCAAAGCCGCGCCUUCACAGAUCAUUCCAAGAGACCCUGGUGCUCUCCCCAUUGAUUUCCUUAGGCCACGCUUUGUCUCAAUGCAACGUGUGACAUCACCUGGAGAUACCUCACUUUGCCUUCCAUUCACCCCAGUGAGGUGCAGGCAAUUACCUGAGCCCUUUGUUAGGAGUCUAAUCCUCUUGGGCCCUGCAGAAGAUCAGCAGUGUUUCCAAAGGUGAUUCAGCCCACCCCAUCGGCCUCUGUGCUACUAACAUGGGUACACCAAACAUGAAGAGGGGUGAAGUCAUCCAGCUCUGUGCACACACGAUUCCUAUCUCUGUACAGGACCUCCUGUUGCUGCCACCAAGCUCCCAAACCAGCACGCCCCAUACAGAGCCCUGACACCUUGCUCUGCAGCAUGUUCAAUGCCCUGCACUGAUGCCCUGAAUCUGUUCCCUUUCUGCUGAGCCCCUGGCCCUCCCUGUCAUCACCAGGAGAGACGGAUGCUCUCAAAGCAAUAUUCAAUCUGCCAGGAGCCUAAGUUGCCUCCUGCACCUUAUUUCUCUCCGCUGACCCAAAGGAACACUUGGUGGAACAGAACUGUGACCCAGGACACGCAAUCUUGUGCUUCAUGUUACAGCAAAUCUACAGCUAAGAGCUUGCACAUGCAGAGUGAGAGAAUAAGAACUGCUCUGGAGUACUUGCACUAUAAAAUGCUGCACACCUGAGAGAUUUUUGGACUCCAAGUAAGCCACAAAUAUGAAGUGUGAAUGGUUUACACUGGCACCUGGUCUUCUCAGCAGCUCAAUAUGCAUAAACGAUGUUGAAGUUAACCAAAAGAACGAUCAAGGCACCCAGAAGCUAUCAUAGAAGUGAGUCCUGGUUAUGGGAACUGUAAGAAACCAAACCUUUUGAGGAGUGUGAUUCAAAUCCUGACCACCAGAUUAAGGCAUAACUUCUCCUGAAGCCACCCAAGAGACAGGCUUGCACCAAUUGCAGAUCUGGUCCUGUUUGAAACGCUUUCAAAGAAACCAAACUGCAUUCGGUUUCUUAGGAACUGCCCCAGAUCUCACAUUACCAGCAUCCAAAGACAGAAAUCAAAGCACAGCAUACUUCAAGGUAUGAAUCAGCAAAAGAAUUCCUGGAUUUCUAAGAUGGAUUUGAUAAGCUGCUGUUCCCUGCACCGUUAUUAUUAUUAUUUGUAUUUUUCAGAGAUCUCAGAGUGUUCUCAGUACUUUGCAAACAAUGUCAGAAUUCACAUCAUCUUCCAUGCAAAGUGCCCGUUGGGGUUAAUGCAAAAAACUGAAAGCUAUCUAAAAAGGCAGAAAAUCCAAAGCUGACUCAGUUUGUCUCAUUAUAAAGCACUUUCUGAAGCAUCCUCUCAUCAACCAUUUCCUUACUAGAAAUCAUUUGACUUGACACCAUUUUUAAAACCUUUGCAGUCUUACAGCUAUGUAACUCCUCUCUGAAACAAGCCAACUUCAGCUGUAGCAUUUUUAACACCUUUACAUUCGUAUGCAGGCCCACAUUCAGCCCUCAGGACGCUACUCACAGAACUCAGAGUCACUCCAGGGAAGAGGCUGACUGAUCACGGCGGUGAUUCUAUGACAUCUGCAAUGCACAGCACUGCUGCUGCCUUUGAACACAACUUCAGCCUCGCCUCAGCGAUCCCUCCUUUGUGGUGGCAUUCCCUUCUCAUCCAGCUGCCAAAAGGAGAUCUGAAAUGAACAUCAUAAACAUUGAUUUUUUUUCCUGCUAAGCAUCCAAAACCAUAUCCGAGAUAAACAAACAAAGCAAAACACUUGGCCCGAACCAUAUCCUGGCUCCAAACAAAUCUGGAUAAGAAAUUUGUGGUUGAGAUCUGUUCAUAUUAAACCCAGUGAAGUAAA